GGGGGGCUCGGGGGGCUCGGGAGGGAUGGAAAGGAGGCGGGAGGGAACGGGGAUGUGCGGAAUGGGAAUGUGGAAAGUGUGCGAGAGAGCGGGAGUGUGCAAGGGACAUGAGUGUGCAAAGGCACAGGGACACAAGGGUGUGCGAGGUCAUGGAAGCGUCCGAGGGCACGAGGGCAGGGGAGGGGACACGGGCACACACGGGCACAGGGACACGGAUGGCAGCUGUGUCCCCGUGUCCCCGCAGGAGCUGCCUGGCUGCCCGAGACCCCUAUUGUGUCUGGCUGCCCUCCAGGGGCUGCGUCCCCUUCUCCGAGGACCUUCCGUGAGUUGUCCCUCCCAUCCCCGACCUCCUGGGGCGUGUGGGGACCCGCUGGGGACAGAGGGUGAUGUCCCCUCUGUGUCCCAGGAGUGGCUUCCAGCAGGACAUGGAGGGGUCCCUCGGGAUCAGCGGGACCUGCCAAGGGGCUGCAAGGGACGGUGACGAGGAUGGAGACCUGGCGCACGG
ensembl:lncRNA